UGUAGCUCAAUUGGUAGAGCAUGGCACUUGCAACGCCAGGAUAGUGGGUUCGAUUCCCGGGACCA
rfam:Salmo salar isolate Sally breed double haploid chromosome ssa13, whole genome shotgun sequence.